UAAUACAGAGGGGGCAAGCGUUGUUCGGAAUUACUGGGCGUAAAGGGCGCGUAGGCGGCCUUCUAAGUCGAACGUGAAAUCCCCGGGCUCAACCCGGGAACUGCGUCCGAGACUGGAAGGCUCGAAUCCGGGAGAGGGAUGUGGAAUUCCAGGUGUAGCGGUGAAAUGCGUAGAUAUCUGGAGGAACACCGGUGGCGAAGGCGGCAUCCUGGACCGGUAUUGACGCUGAGGCGCGAAAGCCAGGGUAGCAAACGGGAUUAGAUACCCCGGUAGUCCUGGCCCUAAACGAUGAAUACUUGGUGUGGCGGGUAUCGAUCCCUGCCGUGCCGAAGCUAACGCAUUAAGUAUUCCGCCUGGGGAGUACGGUCGCAAGGCUG
rnacentral:rRNA from 1 species